GACGAACGCUGGCGGCGUGCCUAAUACAUGCAAGUAGGACGAGUGGCGAACGGGUGAGUAAUACGUGAGUAACCUUCCCUCUUUUUGGGAUAAGCCUUGGAAACGGGGACUAAUACCGAAUACAGGGGGAUGGGCUCGCGGCCUAUCAGCUUGUUGGUGGGUUGAUGGCCUACCAAGGGGGUGACGGGUAGCAGGCCGGAGAGGGUGACCGGCGACAUUGGGACUGAGCUACGGCCCAGACUCCUACGGGAGGAAGCAGUGGGGGAUAUUGCUCAAUGGGCUAAAGCCUGAUGCAGCGACUCUGCGUGGGGGAUGAAGGCUUUCGGGUUGUAAACCUCUUUCGCUAUCGAAGGGGUAGGUGGCGAAGAAGCGCCGGCUAACUACGUGCCAGCAGCCGCGGUAAUUC
rnacentral:rRNA from 1 species